rnacentral:tRNA from 2 species
GGAGACGUCGCAUAGUCCGGUCGAGUGCGCCUCACUGCUAAUGAGGUAAGGGUGUUAAAGCCCUUCGGAGGUUCAAAUCCUCUCGUCUCCGCCA